rnacentral:rRNA from 1 species
GAUGAACGCUGGCGGCGUGCCUAAUACAUGCAAGUCGAGCGAACGGACGAGAAGCUUGCUUCUCUGAUGUUAGCGGCGGACGGGUGAGUAACACGUGGAUAACCUACCUAUAAGACUGGGAUAACUUCAGGAAACCGUAGCUAAUACCGGAUAAUAUUUUGAACCGCAUGGUUCAAAAGUGAAAGACGGUCUUGCUGUCACUUAUAGAUGGAUCCGCGCUGCAUUAGCUAGUUGGUAAGGUAACGGCUUACCAAGGCAACGAUGCAUAGCCGACCUGAGAGGGUGAUCGGCCACACUGGAACUGAGACACGGUCCAGACUCCUACGGGAGGCAGCAGUAGGGAAUCUUCCGCAAUGGGCGAAAGCCUGACGGAGCAACGCCGCGUGAGUGAUGAAGGUCUUCGGAUCGUAAAACUCUGUUAUUAGGGAAGAACAUAUGUGUAAGUAACUGUGCACAUCUUGACGGUACCUAAUCAGAAAGCCACGGCUAACUACGUG